rnacentral:rRNA from 1 species
GACGAACGCUGGCGGCGUGCCUAAUACAUGCAAGUAGAACGCACAGUUUAUACCGUAGCUUGCUACACCAUAGACUGUGAGUUGCGAACGGGUGAGUAACGCGUAGGUAACCUGCCUAUUAGAGGGGGAUAACUAUUGGAAACGAUAGCUAAUACCGCAUAACAGUAUGUAACACAUGUUAGAUGCUUGAAAGAUGCAAUUGCAUCGCUAGUAGAUGGACCUGCGUUGUAUUAGCUAGUAGGUAGGGUAAAGGCCUACCUAGGCAACGAUACAUAGCCGACCUGAGAGGGUGAUCGGCCACACUGGGACUGAGACACGGCCCAGACUCCUACGGGAGGCAGCAGUAGGGAAUCUUCGGCAAUGGGGGGAACCCUGACCGAGCAACGCCGCGUGAGUGAAGAAGGUUUUCGGAUCGUAAAGCUCUGUUGUUAAGGAAGAACGAGUGUGAGAAUGGAAAGUUCAUACUGUGACGGUACUUAACCAGAAAGGGACGGCUAACUACGUGCCAGCAGCCGCGGUAAUACGUAGGUCCCGAGCGUUGUCCGGAUUUAUUGGGCGUAAAGCGAGCGCAGGCGGUUAGAAAAGUCUGAAGUGAAAGGCAGUGGCUCAACCAUUGUAGGCUUUGGAAACUGUUUAACUUGAGUGCAGAAGGGGAGAGUGGAAUUCCAUGUGUAGCGGUGAAAUGCGUAGAUAUAUGGAGGAACACCGGUGGCGAAAGCGGCUCUCUGGUCUGUAACUGACGCUGAGGCUCGGAAGCGUGGGGAGCAAACAGG